CGUAUGGAGAAUCCGCGAGAAAUGAUAAUGGAAAACAUCCUGUCACAUUCAGAUAACAUUGAACAGUUUCACGAAGAAAGGAAGCAAGAUAAAUUGGACGAUAUUCAAAGUCAUGAAAAUAUUCUCUGACUGCCAGACAAACAUUGUUUCGCCGUAGUACCAAGUAUAUCUUUCGUUAACAUGAGAUUUAACAUUGCAUCCUUAUAUGUCAUCGUUUAUUUGAUGGUCGAGCUGCCCAAAAUAUCAACCCUAUUUCCUUGGAAAGACAUGAAAGACCAGUCAAUUUGUUUGGAAAUUAUAACAAAGAUGCAAUUCCGUAACGUGCCUUAUUAUGAGACAUACUGGCACCGUGUUCUGGGAAUCUACAAACAGGAAAGACAUCGUAUCAAUUACAAAAUUGAAUAUUACCCGACAUUUCACACACAAAAAAAGUGCUGUAACGGAUACAAAGAGGUAUCAAAUAAAUGCGUUCCUAAUUGCUUUCCAGACUGUGAGAACGGAUUAUGUAAAGCUCCGGACACAUGUGAGUGCUUUCCAGGAUAUUCCAUAUCAACGGAGGAGAAACAUAUUUGUAAACCGAUUUGUUCGAAUGGUUGUUGGAAUGGCGAAUGCAUUCAACCCGAAGUUUGUAUCUGCUACCCGGAUUACUUCAUAGAUUCCGACGGAUACAUUUGCCGUCCCAAUUGCGAAGAGAAGUGCGAUCCUAAUAACGGCUAUUGUGUAGAACCGAAUACUUGUGGUUGUAAUUUUGGAUAUAAGAAAUCAAACGAAUCGGAGAUGUGCGAUCCGAUUUGCGAACGCGAAUGUAUCAACGGCAGGUGCGUCGAACCAAACACCUGCAGCUGCUACGACGAUUACGAACUGGAUGUUAACGAUUCGUUCAAUUGUAUUCCAAAAUGCGAACAGAAUUGUCUCUUCGGAACAUGUACAGCUCCCAACGUUUGCACGUGCAACAUCGGAUACAAACCAAUCAACGAAAGUGAUUGCAAACCGAUCUGCAAUCAACCGUGUGUAAUGGGUGUCUGUAUAGCACCUGACAUCUGCAACUGCAUCGUCGGCUACAAAUUUUCGAACAUUUCCGUGCACGUUUGCGAACCACAUUGCGAGCAUGAAUGUAUCAAUGGAACUUGCAUUGCUCCGAAUAUUUGCAAAUGCAACGAAGGAUUCACCUUCGAUGAAGACGAUGAAACAAGGACUGUCUGUAAACCUUUUUGCACCUUUCCCUGCGAUCCCAAUGCUGAAUGCACCGCGCCUGAUCGCUGCACUUGUCAUGAAGGAUAUCGUUUCUUUGGGGAAAAUGAUACAACGAACAACAUUAGUACGGUAUCGAAUAACGAAAAUGGCACCAUCUGCGUCCCGGUAUGUAAAAAAGAUUGCGAGAACGGCAAAUGUGUCUUUCCUGAUGUUUGCAUCUGCGAAGAAGGAUAUGAUAAAGUUUGGGUGCAAAUGAUACCAGAUAACAUAAACAGUUAUCCCUGUACAUCAAUUUGUAAAAAAGUCUGUGAUUUGAACGGCAAUUGCAACGCACCUGAUAAUUGUAUAUGCAAUAAUACGUAUCAUAACACGAAAAUACAAGGUAAAUACAUUUGUCAACCUUCUUGCAAUAUAAACUGUGAGCAUGGUACGUGCGAGGCUCCAAAUGUUUGCACCUGCGACGAAGGAUACAAACAAAACGAGAAGGGUCGAUGCGUCGAUGCGAUUUGUCAUCCUUCUUGUAUCAAUGGCACUUGCACCAAACCAAACGUUUGUACUUGUUACGAUGGUUAUCGUCUACGAAACGAGACAAUUUGUGAGCCAAUUUGCGAAAGUUCUUGUCUAAACGGAACAUGCGUGGCACCGAAUACUUGUCGAUGUAACGAAGGUUAUUUCGAAAUAAAAAACGACAAUGUUUCUACUUGUGCCUCGACGUGUUCUCGAAACUGUAGCGAGCAUGGUACUUGCCUCGAUGAACAAAACUCCUGCUCUUGUUUCUUUGGAUGGACCGGUGUAAAUUGUGACGAAGCCAGCCUCUGCGUUUACGAAACAACUCUCGAUUCGAUUCUCCUUUCUUCGAUUACAAUCAUGAAUGAGACGAACAGCACGUUGACGAAGAGCUACGAUAACGCGCCUCUUUGUUAUCAAUGUUUCGAUUCCGUCGACAAUGCGACAUUGUGUUUCGUCGUACAUUCGAACGAAUCGCUUACAAUACCAACAGUUGGUUGUUUCCUUAGUACAGAAUUGCCAUGCUACAGGAGACCACAUAAUAAUGCAUUGAAAAGCUCUUCCAAUAUAAUGGAGUUGCUGAUAGUAAUCACAAUAGCUAUCACAAUAGUUGCUACUAUAAAUGGAUAUAUAAUUGCUCGCAAAUGUCGAAAGCAAUCAACGAUUUUAAUACCGAACGAGCAAAUUAAUUCGUUGACAAGUGAUAGUGAUACUCUGAUAAUGAGAGACGAGGAUUAUCUAAUCGAACAAUGACAAGUGUAAGAGAUUAGAAGUCUUCUCGGGCUUCAACAAGAGACCUAUACAACAUAACUGAAAAUAUUAUGUAUUCUUUUUCCGAGGCCUCUGAUCGAUCAUUUAUCGUCUGUCGUCUCCACCCUUUGACGAAACAUGCCGAAUAAUAUAAGUAAACGAGUGAGCGAGCGAGCGAGCGGACGAACAAGCAUCCCUGAUCGCGAUGCGAAGCAACAGAGAGCAUCGAGCAGAUCGCGCAGCUGCAGGCAACGGUCGGUGGUCGGACGGCGGGUGACGAACGGUGAGCGGCGUUAAACGGGUGGCAAGGGCCGUGUCGGUGGGGUUGCAAUGCGGGAGAAGACGCAACUAGCAGUUUCGAGCGGUUUCUCUCCGGUCAGAGUGUACUCGCUGCUGGAGCAGCGUGGUAACGUCUACGUUCAGGUCGCGUUUUAUUCCCGAGAAACAAUAGAACUGCACCUACGUGUAAGAAACAUUACUCCGGCGACGCAACUUAACGAAAGAAGGAAGGAUAAGCGUAGAAAGAAAAUCGAAGAAGAAGAAGAAGAAGAAGAAGAAAAAGAAGAAAAA